rnacentral:rRNA from 1 species
UACGUAGGGGGCAAGCGUUGUCCGGAUUCAUUGGGCGGAAAGAGCGUGUAGGCGGCCAGGUAGGUCGGUUGUGAAAACUGGAGGCUCAACCUUCAGAGGUCGACCGAAACCAUCUGGCUAGAGUCCGGAAGAGGAGAAUGGAAUUCCCGGUGUAGCGGUGAAAUGCGCAGAUAUCGGGAAGAACACCCGUGGCGAAGGCGGUUCUCUGGGACGGUACUGACGCUGAGACGCGAAAGCGUGGGGAGCGAACAGG